UAAAUCACUUUUUCUUGCACUUCCCUGGGAUGGUUGAUCACUGUGGUCUGCCAUUUCAUCUACUGGAUUGAUGACCCAUCAUACAUCGCACUGAUGUUGAUGAUGAUGGUAGAGAUGCAUGCAGCCAUGGAAAAAAGGGUUCCUACUUUUGAUCAUUUUUGGCCGCAACAGGCACCUAGGGGCUAGGGCAUCCUGAAUGAUACCUCAUACAGGUCUAGAAGGCAGGGGAAAGAAAGAAAGAAGGCGAGAAAAGGGCAACAUCAGGAUCAGGUGGCGACGUGCAAGUCUGGCGCUGCCAAAUACCCAAAGUACAGAGUGGUUGGCAUGAGUGCCAGAAACAAAAUGGAAUUUAUCAGGCCUGCCUCCACGACAAUGCUACGUUGAUGCUAACUCGAUCCCGCGUCCACAUUAGCCGGUAUCUCUCCGGCAUGGCCCGUAUCUUUAUGGCAUGACACUGACAACGUCCCUCGCAAUCGCAAGAUCUCUGAGGACUCUGGAGUUUCUGAUGGGGAUAAGCUGGUGGAUUGAUUGGGCAACUAAUCGCAAGGACGGGGACCGGUAGAGGAUACUUCAGACGUCAAAGAAAAAAGAAGAACACCGGUGGAGGGAGUGAAGUUGCGGAAGGGAGGAGAUCAUCAAGAAGCUGUUAGUGAUGAAAAAAGACGACAUAAAAUUGAUGCAUGAGAUGAGAGGAGUAUCAUCGAAGAACACCGGUGGAGUGAAGUUGCACAAGGGGGGAGGUCAUCAAGAAGCUGUUAGUAAUGAGAAAAGACGACCUAAAAUUGAUGCAUGAGAGGAGUAUCAUCGGUACUUUCUUUCUUCUUUGAUCUUCAAUAUGAUUUAACAAGUAUAGCAAUGGAAGAAUCAAGGAAACCCCGGAAGAAUGAUACUAAUCAGAAAGACCUGCUGAUACCGAAGGGCAGUGUUAGCCAUCGCAGCAUUCUCAUAACUAGAAAGCUAAUGUUAACCAGCACUGCCAGAUUAAUAUCUUAAACAGAUAGAUUAAUAUCUGAGUCAGAAAAUGAACCACCAAGAAGGAUUUCUUAAUCUCUGAACCAGAAGAUUUUUCUGCUGUUAGUCCCGGACGUCUCACUGUCCAAUCAAGCAUUUCUCAUUUUGCAUGAUGUUAUAGUGAGAUUACCAUUGUUGGAAAAUUUUGUUGUUGAUUCUGCUGGCCUUUCAUUAUAGACACUGCGUAGUUGCUGCCCUGCAUAAUUGCCUGGGAAAUCUUUGAUUGGUUUCUAACCUUCAAUGCACAGAGAAAUGCAGAGUAUAGACUGGU